AGUUUCACAGUAAAACUGUAAAUUCAAGAUUUUUUUUUUAACUGAAAAAAACACUUCACGAGUAUUAGCACGAUAGUGCUUGUGCUCUGUUUAUUGUUUCAUUUAUACAAAGACUUCAAAGAACUUCUCAAAGGUGGCUACACAGUAUCCCCAAAUUAGAUUAGAUAACUCUCAUAGCAAUUUAGUGGCUGAGCUGGCCAUAGAAUGCAAGAAUCCUGAAUCCAAGUCUGCUGCUGUAACCAAUAGGCCACACUGCCUCCCUUAUGAAGUUUGAUUUCUGCGCUAGACAACCCUGAAAGAUACAGGUGACUGGUAACAGAAUAUGGAGCCUCAUUAUUAGGUUGCCAGGUAAGCUCAGGGCAAUGGUGACUGAAAGUGUUUUCUUUAUAGGUGAAAUGAGGUAGUGGUCUCAGCCCAAUUUGUAUUUCCCAGCUAAAAGGCUACCAUACCAGGUGGCUCCAGUGUUGGCAUCCAAGAGCGCACAAUGGCUAAAUGAAGCUAAACAACCUUCUUCCUUUCCAAAUGUUCUCUUCAGCAGGAGACAUUUUAGCAUCUGAAGCUGGCUGACUUUUGGUUUAUAAAUGUGUUCCCAUCCAGAGUGACUGUGAUGUAUGUGAAAGUAACAGCCAUUGAAACAACAAACAACCAGCUUUCCCAGGCUUGGCCACAGAUGGGGAAACUGAGGACCAUGUCACGGAGCAAAGCAGUGGCAGAACCAGGAUUAAAACUCAGGAGUCCCGUCAUCCUCUCAUAACAGCAGAACAUAAGACCGGCCAUACUGGGUCAGACCAAAGGUCCAUCUAGCCCAGUAUCCUGUCUUCUGACAGUGGCCAAUGCCAGGUGCUUCAGAGGGAAUGAAUAGAACAGGUCAUCAUCAAGUGAUCCAUCCCCUGUCGCCCAGCCCAUUCCCAGCUUCUGGCAAACAGAAGCUAGGGAUACCACGCUGCCCAUCCUGGCUAAUAGCCACUGAUGGACCUAGCCUUCAUGAAUUUAUCUAGUUCUUUUUCUAACCCUGUUAUCGUCUUGUCUUUCAUAACAUCCUCUGUCAAAGAGUUCCACAGGUUGACUGUGCGUUGUGUGAAGAAAUACUUCCUUUUGUUUGUUUUAAACCUGCUGCCUAUUCAUUUCAUUUGGUGACCCCUAAUUCUUGUGUUAUGAGAAGGAGUAAAUAACAUUUCCUUAUUUACUUUCUCCACACCAGUCAUGAUUUUAUAGACCUCUAUCAUAUCCCCCCCCUUAGUCGUCUCUUUUCCAAGCUGAAAACUCCCAAUCUCCCCUCCUCUUACCACCAUAAUGGGACAACAUCGUUUUGAUCCCAGAGACGUUUUCCCUUUGUGUAGUGCAAGUGUCACUUUUUAGACAUAAAACAGAAGCUCUGUAAAUGAGAAACUUUGGCUGGCGUGUUUAAUGACCGAUUACUUUUUCCUUUUGUGGCGGAUUUCUUUCCGUUGUUGUACUCGUCACCAUGUGUGAUUACAGCUGCCUGAAAUGCCACUGCUUUCUGAGGCAGGUCCAGGCAGCAGCCGGAAUGCGGAAAAUACAUCACUGCAGAUUAUGGUACAGUGAGUUCCUUAGGGAACACAAUCAGUUCUCUAACUCUUGUAGUGAGGGCCUAUUAACAGGACA